rnacentral:tRNA from 1 species
GGAGACGUAUCGAAGUGGUCAUAACGGGGCUGACUCGAAAUCAGUUAGGGAGAAAUCCCACGCGAGUUCGAAUCUCGCCGUCUCCGCCA